rnacentral:rRNA from 1 species
AGCAGCCGCGGUAAUUCCAGCUCCAAUAGCGUAUAUUAAAGUUGUUGCAGUUAAAAAGCUCGUAGUUGAAUUUCGGGAUCAAUAUAUCGGUCGUGCCUUGGUACGUACUGGUAUCAUUGGUUUCUCCUUUCUGACGAACCAUGAUGUCAUUAAUUUGGUGUUAUGGGAAGUUAGGACUGUUACUUUGAAAAAUUAGAAGUGUUUAAAGCAGGCUUUAGCUUGAAUACAUUAGCAUGGAAUAAUGAAAUAGGUCGUUCGAACCUAUUUUGUUGGUUUCUAGGAUCAACGUAAUGAUUAAUAGGGAUAGUUGGGGGCAUUAGUAUUCAAUUGUCAGAGGUGAAAUUCUUGGAUUUAUUGAAGACUAACUACUGCGAAAGCAUUUGCCAAGGAUGUUUUCAUUAAUCAAGAACGAAAGU